AAAUUUGAAGCCUUCCGUGUGAACAUUUCACACGGCUCCUUUUUCCCAUUCAAAAUCUCCCUCCCAAGCUAUCACCAAAAUUCCUCCCCUCCCCCAACUAACCUGGAUGUCUCAUUCACGUCUCUAUACAUAGCCACAGAACCCUGGAAAAAAGCACUAUUUUCCUUCUCCAUCGCUUUGUUUGUUGUUUCAUCCCUAGUGUUUGAUUUUUGGAGCUAAGGAAAAAACAUGAUAAUGGGCGAUGAGAGGAUGGAGGUAUCUUUCUUCGAUGUCGAGACAACUGUACCGACCCGAUCCGGUCAAGGAUUCGCAAUCCUGGAGUUUGGGGCUAUUCUUGUUUGUCCAAGGAAACUCGUCGAGCAGGAGAGUUACUCCACCCUAGUACGGCCCACUGAUCUGGCCCUCAUUUCCACCCUCUCCGUUCGCUGUAACGGUAUUACCCCAGAAGCAGUCACAAAUGCCCCCACCUUUGCUGAAAUCGCUGACAAAGUCUAUGACAUUCUCCAUGGGAGAAUAUGGGCGGGACACAAUAUAGUGAAAUUUGAUUGUCAUCGAAUUCGGGAAGCAUUUGCUGGGAUUAAUAGGCCAGCACCAGAGCCUAAGGGAAUAAUUGAUACAUUGUCCUUAUUGACUCAGAGAUUUGGAAGGAGAGCUGGUGACAUGAAGAUGGCCUCACUUGCUACUUAUUUUGGCCUUGGACAGCAAACGCAUAGGUUGCCUUGUUUCUUGCAUCCUCUUUUUGGCCCCUGUUGAAGCAGGGGACUGGGAGCCCGUGGGAGGGUAACUCUUGUUACUUUUAACAGAGAAAUGUACUGCUGAUGGGAAAUGAGUUUGGAUGAUGUCCGAAUGAAUCUUGAAGUGCUGAAGUAUUGUGCAACUGUCUUGUUUCUGG